ACUCAAAGGAAUUGACGGGGACCCGCACAAGCGGUGGAACAUGUGGUUUAAUUCGAUGCUACGCGAAGAACCUCACCAGGACUUGACAUACAGGAAGUAGUGAACUGAAAGGGAAACGACCCGUAAAGUCGGGAGCUUGUACAGGUGCUGCAUGGCUGUCGUCAGCUCGUGUCGUGAGAUGUUGGGUUAAGUCCCGCAACGAGCGCAACCAUUACCCCAUGUUGCUAAUACUUUCAAGCCUUAAAACUUGAGGGUGUGCACUCUUGGGGGACUGCCUGGGAUAACCAGGAGGAAGGUGGAGAUGACGUCAAGUCAGUACGGCCUUUAUGUCCUGGGCUACACACGUGUUACAAUGGCAGGUACAAAGGGUUGCCAACUCGCGAGAGGGAGCUAAUCUCAAAAAACCUGCCUCAGUUCGGAUUGAAGUCUGCAAUUCGACUUCAUGAAGCCGGAAUCGCUAGUAAUGGAAGAUCAGCUCGCUUCCGUGAAUACGUUCCCGGGUCUUGUACACACCGCCCGU
rnacentral:rRNA from 1 species